rnacentral:rRNA from 1 species
UACGUAGGGUGCAAGCGUUGUCCGGAAUUAUUGGGCGUAAAGAGCUCGUAGGCGGUUUGUCGCGUCGAAUGUGAAAACCCGGGGCUCAACUCCGGGCCUGCAUUCGAUACGGGCAGACUAGAGUUCGGUAGGGGAGACUGGAAUUCCUGGUGUAGCGGUGAAAUGCGCAGAUAUCAGGAGGAACACCGGUGGCGAAGGCGGGUCUCUGGGCCGAUACUGACGCUGAGGCACGAAAGCGUGGGGAGCAAACAGG